GUUCACGCUAAUCAUUUAAUCAUUGAUGACAAUCAUUUAAUCAUUGUUUCAGGUAAUUAACUGUUUUCUUAUUGUGUUUACAUUAUUUUGUGUGCUCAUUGCGGACAUGUACUGAUGAGUCAGAUUAGAAGGUUUAAUGCUAACACGGGGGCAAUUGACCACUGUGUCACAAUGUAUAGAACAGAGACUUUCAGUAUAGAAGGAUUUUAGCUUAUGCCUAGAAGUGCCAAGGGUUGGUAAGUAUGGUUUUAAACUGUUCUGCCUUAACAGUCAUUUAUUAAAAAGUGUGCUUUAUAAUCAUCACAGCCAUUCACUAAAAGUGUUCCUUAUAAAAGUGCUCUAGGGCCCUGACAUAUGCCUUAGAUAAUGAUGUGCCUUUCAUAAACAGAUGUGCAGGUGCUAGUCAGAGAUGUGAACAACAGGACGAGGGAGGAAGAUCACUCUGUCCUGAGAAGAUGGGGAGGUGUAAAGGGGGGUUUGCAUGCCCAGCAGUCUGCCCAGUGGGAACUCAGUGAAAGCUUGGAAUACAUGACGCAAAUAUGAUAAAAGGAGACAAGCGCUGGAUGCAUCCAAGGUCAACUUCCCUGAAACCACGGUUUCGGUCAGGUAAAAAAAAAUAGAACAAUACGUGCUUGUUUGUCCAUAGAGAAACACUGGGGGCUGCUGGUUAUGUAAACUCUCCGCCCAAAAAGAUGAUGAGACGCCUCCUAGGGUAUAAAUAUUAACUACUGAAAAAUAGUAAUCAGACCACCUCAGAGAUACCAUUGGGUUGAUGUUGUGCUCUCCAAGAUAUCUUGUGUUAUUUGAUGUGCCGAAAUAAAAGGUUUGUUGAAGACACCUUUUUGCCUCAGUGAAUCCUCUGUUCCAGUCUCCAUCAACGGACUCGGGGAAGUUUGAAUUAACUUCAACAAUUUUGGGGGCUCGUCCGGGAUGGAGUUCUGACAGAGCUUUUGAAUUGGAGAAAACUGUUCAGUGCAUCAGAGGAAAAGAGAUCUGGUCGACCACAAAAUAAGGUAAGCAGAAAACCUUUUUAACAGAAUUUCUGCCCAUUUGUGUUACUCUAAAUCAAAGAUCUCUUGAACUCUGUAUAUACUGAAUCCUAAAUUUAUUACGAGGCUCAUGAUAUUGUACUGGUACAUCUUGUGAUAUUCUGUGUUCUGACAAAGAGAGUAACUAUGUGUGAAAUGAAAAGUUAAACUUAAGAGAAGCCUGUGUGAAGGCCGCGUAAAGAGUCAUAAGGACCACCGCUCUGGGUUGUGGCGGACCCCCCUAGUGGCUCGACGGGGCGCUAGUUGAGCUGGGUUGCAAACCCCGGGGACUUGGAGCCCCCCGAAAAGAAGUGUGUGAUAUUGUUGAAUUCUGUGCGAGGUGAUAUGCCGCACAGAAAGAUUCAGUGGAGACUGACAUUCUCUCUGCUGCGUGAUUGUUAAAAUUAGUGCGAGGAGCUGUGCCGCACAAAAAGUCAGUACAGACUGACUUUGUCUUUGCUGUGUGAUACUGUUGAAUUCUGUGCGAG